rnacentral:rRNA from 1 species
GAUGGACGCUAGCUACAGGCUUAACACAUGCAAGUCGAGGGGCAGCAUGAACUUAGCUUGCUAAGUUUGAUGGCGACCGGCGCACGGGUGCGUAACGCGUAUCCAACCUUCCCGUUACUCAGGUAUAGCCUUGCGAAAGUAAGAUUAAUCCCUGAUGACAUAUGUUUGCUGCAUGGUGAACAUAUUAAGGAUUUAUCGGUAACGGAUGGGGAUGCGUUCCAUUAGGUAGUUGGUGAGGUAACGGCUCACCAAGCCUGCGAUGGAUAGGGGUUCUGAGAGGAAGGUCCCCCACACUGAAACUGAGACACGGUCCAGACUCCUACGGGAGGCAGCAGUGAGGAAUAUUGGACAAUGGUCGGAAAACUGAACCAGCCAAGUAGCGUGAGAGAAGACUGCACUAUGGGUUUUAAACCUCUUUUAUAUGGGAAUAAAAAAGAUUACGUGUAGUCUAUUGUAUGUACCUUAUGAAUAAGCAUCGGCUAAUUCCGUGCCAGCCGCCGCAGUAAGAC